rnacentral:rRNA from 1 species
CGGUCCUAAGGUAGCGAAAUUCCUUGUCGGGUAAGUUCCGACCUGCACGAAUGGCGUAACGACUUCCCCACUGUCUCGACCAGGAGCUCGGCGAAAUUGCAGUACGAGUAAAGAUGCUCGUUAAGCGCAGAAGGACGAAAAGACCCCGGGACCUUUACUAUACCUUGGUAUUGGCGUUAGGCGCGGAUUGUGUAGCAUAGGCGGGAGGCUUCGAAGCGUGGGCGCCAGCUCAUGUGGAGCCGCAAGGUGAAAUACCGCUCUGUUCUCGUUUGACGUCUAACCUCGACAAGUCAUCCUUGUCAGGGACAGUGCCUGGCGGGUAGUUCAACUGGGGCGGUUGCCUCCCAAAGAGUAACGGAGGCGCUCAAAGGUCCGCUCAGCCCGGUUGGCAAUCGGGUGUCGAGUGUAAUCGCACAAGCGGGCUUGACUGCGAGGACGACGGUCCGAGCAGGGACGAAAGUCGGAGAUAGUGAUCCGGUGCCGGCGCACGGGCGCGGCAUCGCUCAACGGAUAAAAGGUACCCCGGGGAUAACAGGCUGAUCAUUCCCAAGAGUCCAUAUCGACGGGAUGGUUUGGCACCUCGAUGUCGGCUCGUCGCAUCCUGGGGCUGGAGCAGGUCCCAAGGGUUCGGCUGUUCGCCGAUUAAAGCGGCACGCGAGCUGGGUUCAGAACGUCGUGAGACAGUUUGGUCUCUAUCCUCUGCGCUCGUUGGAAUCCUGAGGAGGCCUGCCCAUAGUACGAGAGGACCUGGGUGGACGAACCUCUGGUAUGCCGGUUGUCGCGCCAGCGGCACGGCCGGUUGGCUACGUUCGGGAGGGAUAACCGCUGAAAGCAUCUAAGCGGGAAGCCUGCUCCAAGAUUAGGAUUCCGUACGGUCUUGAACCGUUGUAGCCCGCAUGUUGAACACGUGUUUGAUAGGCCGGAGGUGGAAGCCCCGUGAGGGGUGGAGCCGACCGGUACUAACGGGCGACGGCGACACAAC